AUAUCUCUCCGUACGGGAAGGAUGAGAAGCUUCGACUAAGGUUCGAUUCGAGCGAAAGCGAGAAAGCGUUGCCGCAGGCAACGA
rnacentral:sRNA from 1 species